rnacentral:tRNA from 3 species
UGAUAUGGCUCAGUUGGUAGAGCAGCGCAUUCGUAAUGCGCAGGUCGUCGGUUCGAGUCCGACUAUCA